rnacentral:rRNA from 1 species
CUCGUAGGCGGUUUGUCGCGUCGGGAGUGAAAACACCGGGCUUAACUCGGUGCUGGCUUUCGAUACGGGCAGACUAGAGGUAUUCAGGGAGAACGGAAUUCCUGGUGUAGCGGUGAAAUGCGCAGAUAUCAGGAGGAACACCGGUGGCGAAGGCGGUUCUCUGGGAAUGUCCUGACGCUGAGGAGCGAAAGUGUGGGGAGCGAACA